GACGAACGCUGGCGGCGUGCUUAACACAUGCAAGUCGAACGGAAAGGCCCUGCUUUUGUGGGGUGCUCGAGUGGCGAACGGGUGAGUAACACGUGAGUAACCUGCCCUUGACUUUGGGAUAACUUCAGGAAACUGGGGCUAAUACCGGAUAGGAGCUCCUGCUGCAUGGUGGGGGUUGGAAAGUUUCGGCGGUUGGGGAUGGACUCGCGGGUUAUCAGCUUGUUGGUGGGGUAGUGGCUUACCAGGUGUUUGACGGGUAGCCGGCCUGAGAGGGUGGCCGGCCACAUGGGGACUACGAGAGGGCGCAGACUCCUACGGGAGGCAGCGGUGGGGAAUAUGGUACAAUGGGCGGAAGCCUGAUGCAGCAACGCCGGGUGCGUGAUGCCCGCUUUGUGGGUGUAAACCGCUUUAGCCUGUUACGAAGCGGUAGUGACGGUAAUGGGUAAAGAAGCACCGGCUAACUACGUG
rnacentral:rRNA from 1 species